UUGACGAUAUUUGGAUGCAGGAAUCCAUCUACUUCGCGUGACAGCGGGUACUUGAGUAACUCACCUUCACAAUCACAAAUCAGCGAAGUCUUCGAAUACUUCAGAUGUGCUUUUCGAUCCAUCAGCAUUGGGACGCGGGAUUAUAGUAACUACGACGCGAUUGGUGUGUUACACAUGAGGUCAAACUUCCACCUGUCGGCUGUGGAGCACCACAAAGAGUGGUCUGCCAAAAUCAAACAGGUCGUUGGAUCUACUAAGCAGUCACUAUCAGACUUACCAGGAGCCGAAUGACAAAAAGUUCAGCCUGUCAGCCACAUUAUAAGUAGCCUCAGUGUUCAUCAACGGAAUCAGUCAGUAAAGCGUGAAGAAAACAUGCGGAAGGUCAAUUAAUUACAACAGAAAAUCUACACAUCGGCAUGGUCAUAAACAGCCCGGAUUGUUGGAAAAAACCUUGCGGGAAAAUUAUUAAUACGGAACGGAGCGGAACUUCAUCAAUUCCAAGAGCCUGUUACCGCACAAUACAACUUCGUACAACCUUAAUUGGGUCGUGUUCACAUCAACUAAUUAGAGAUUAUGAGGUUGCAACAAACUCAUCGCCAAGCACGGAUCAGUUUCGGUGGUACCGUUGCUAUGUCAACAAUCUGGGAGGCAAAUUUCGAGCUAUUCUCGAUUAGACAGUGAUGAGCUAAGCUUUGCUGAUAGUGAUCCAGCUGAGUGAAAAUUGCAUGGUUGGACAGAGAAGGAAUGCUACCAGCCAACUGUAUCGAACCUUACUAAUAGUAUAUUUUUUUUAAAUGUGAGCUAUAUAGAUACUUAGACAAAAAAGGCACGCCUAUAUGAAAAGAGCGGCAGCUAGGGUUUAAAAUUUUUUAGGCAAUUCAUUGAAUAAAUAGAACAUAGGUUCUGACCUAUAUGUGUUUAACCUAUACGUGUAUGUUUCAGACUAACGUGCCUAGCCGAACACUCAUAUAAAAUUUUAUAAUAUCUAAUUAACAUACAACCUAUCAAAAAUGUCAGGCGGACGUAUCGACUCGAAUUGCAUCAGUAUCAUCAUUGUCACACUGUCUUCCUAUACUGCGUUGUCUUCACUGUGUGUAAUAAGACAAAUAACCGCAAAAAAAGUUUGGCCUAGGCUAGACAAUGUCCCUUGAAGUCCUUAUAUAAUUCUUGUCGUGUUCAAUGUAAUGUUUCAAAAACAAUAACUUGUAAAAGCUUAUAUAUAUUUCAGGUAAAUUCAGCGUAGCGAACAUAAAUGUCUCAAAUA